CCUACGGGCGGCUGCAGUCGAGAAUCUUCGGCAAUGGGGGCAACCCUGACCGAGCGACGCCGCGUGGUGGAUGAAGGCCUUCGGGUUGUAAACACCUGUUGGGGGGGAACAAUUUUGAGUGAACCCCUGAGGAAGCACGGGCUAAGUUCGUGCCAGCAGCCGCGGUAAGACGAACCGUGCAAACGUUACUCGGAAUCACUGGGCUUAAAGCGCGCGUAGGCGGCGGCGUAAGUCAGAGGUGAAAUCCCAUCGGCUCAACCGUGGAAUUGCCUCUGAUACUGCGUUGCUUGAGGGGGAACGGGGCAUCCGGAACUUCCGGUGGAGCGGUGAAAUGUGUUGAUAUCGGAAGGAACGCCGGUGGCGAAAGCGGGAUGCUGGGUCUCUUCUGACGCUGAGGUGCGAAAGCUAGGGUAGCGAACGGGAUUAGAUACCCGGGUAGUC
rnacentral:rRNA from 1 species